rnacentral:rRNA from 1 species
AGAGUUUGAUCCUGGCUCAGAAUGAACGCUGGCGGCGUGCCUAACACAUGCAAGUCGCACGAGAACGUUUCAGCUUGCUGAGAUUAGUAAAGUGGCGCACGGGUGAGUAACGCGUGGGUAAUCUACCUCCGAAUUGGGGAUAACAUUGCGAAAGCGGUGCUAAUACCGAAUAAUAUCCUCAGGACUCCGGUCUUGGAGAUCAAAGGUGGCCUCUACAUGUAAGCUACCGUUUGGAGAUGAGCCCGCGUACCAUUAGCUUGUUGGUAGGGUAAUGGCCUACCAAGGCUUCGAUGGUUAGCUGGUCUGAGAGGAUGAUCAGCCACACUGGAACUGACACACGGUCCAGACUCCUACGGGAGGCAGCAGUGAGGAAUUUUGCGCAAUGGGGGAAACCCUGACGCAGCAACGCCGCGUGAGUGAUGAAGGCCUUCGGGUCGUAAAGCUCUGUCAAGUGGGAAGAAACUGCUCUAUGCAAAUACCAUAGGGUAUUGACGGUACCACUGAAGGAAGCACCGGCUAACUCCGUGCCAGCAGCCGCGGUAAUACGGGGGGUGCAAGCGUUAUUCGGAAUCAUUGGGCGUAAAGGGCGCGUAGGCGGUUGCUUAAGUCAGGUGUGAAAGCCCUCGGCUUAACCGAGGAAGUGCAUCUGAUACUAAGCAACUCGAGUAUGGGAGAGGGAAGCGGAAUUCCUGGUGUAGCGGUGAAAUGCGUAGAUAUCAGGAGGAACACCGGUGGCGAAGGCGGCUUCCUGGACCAAUACUGACGCUGAGGCGCGAAGGCGUGGGGAGCAAACAGGAUUAGAUACCCUGGUAGUCCACGCAGUAAACGGUGAACACUAGGUGUAGCGGGUAUUGACCCCUGCUGUGCCGAAGCUAACGCAUUAAGUGUUCCGCCUGGGAAGUACGGCCGCAAGGUUAAAACUCAAAGGAAUUGACGGGGGCCCGCACAAGCGGUGGAGCAUGUGGUUUAAUUCGACGCAACGCGAAGAACCUUACCUGGGUUUGACAUGUACGGAUCAACCCCGUGAAAGCGGGGCCACAGUCGCAAGACCGGAACGUGCACAGGUGCUGCAUGGCUGUCGUCAGCUCGUGCUGUGAAGUGUCAGGUUAAGUCCUUUAACGAGCGCAACCCCUAUCGUUAGUUGCUCGGCGAAAGCCAGUACUCUAGCGAGACUGCCGGUGUCAAACCGGAGGAAGGUGGGGAUGACGUCAAGUCCUCAUGGCCCUUACAUCCAGGGUUGCAAACGUGCUACAAUGGCGCGCACAAAGCGACGCAAGAUCGCGAGAUGGAGCAAAUCGCAAAAAACGCGCCCCAGUUCGGAUUGCAGGCUGCGACUCGCCUGCAUGAAGUCGGAAUCGCUAGUAAUCGGAGAUCAGCUACGCUCCGGUGAAUGUGUU